AUUGAACGCUGGCGGCAGGCCUAACACAUGCAAGUCGAGCGAGCGGCGGACGGGUGAGGAAUGUAUGGGGACUGCACGAUAGAGGGGGAUAACUACAGGAAACGGUAGCUAAUACCGCAUAUUAGCGGAUAACCCAUAUGGGAUUAGCUAGUAGGUGAGGUAACGGCCAACCAAGGCGAAGCUCACUAGCUGGGCUGAGAGGAUGAUCAGCCACCCUGGGACUGAGACACGGUCCAGACUCCUACGGAGGCAGCAGUGGGGAAUAUUGGACAAUGGGCGAAAGCCCGAUGCAGCCACGCCGCGUGUAUGAAGAAGGCCCUAGGGUUGUAAAGUACUUUCAGUCGGGAGGCGUUACCGACAGAAGAAGCACCGGCUAACUCCGUGCCAGCAGCCGCGGUAAUAC
rnacentral:rRNA from 1 species